UACGAAGGGGGCUAGCGUUGUUCGGAAUUACUGGGCGUAAAGCGCACGCAGGCGGAUCGAUAAGUCAGGCGUGAAAGCCCCGGGCUCAACCUGGGAACCGCGCUUGAGACUGGCACGCUAGAGUUCGGGAGAGGAUGGUGGAAUUCCCAGUGUAGAGGUGAAAUUCGUAGAUAUUGGGAAGAACACCGAUGGCGAAGGCAGCCAUCUGGACCGACACUGACGCUGAGGCGCGAAAGCGUGGGGAGCAAACAGG
rnacentral:rRNA from 1 species